GCUUUUCAGUUGCUUCUAUUUAAAAAUAGGAAACCAAACCUUGCAAGGAAAUGACAAACAUAAUGGCAAACUUGCAAUUUAUUGAUGACAAUAUCUGGAGCCCAGAUAACAUUGAGCGGCAGCGAAAUCUCCCUCAUCUUGUCGUAGAGGCUGAAAUUCCAGGACCGGCAGCGCCCCCAUCAGACCAGCCCAGUCCCGAAGAUGUGCAGUGCUGGCCUCCCUUCUUGCCAGUGAUUAAACACGUUCGUGUUGUAAGUCUUGCAAAAGUACCUUUGGUGGAGUACUCCUGGGGUUUCAGCACCUCCUCGGUGUUGCCCAGUCCUUUCUGUUUGCUUGGCUCACUGCUUCAUCUGAAGGCAAAGGACCUACUGCAUGAUGGCAGGGUUUGCCAAAACGUCAAGGUGAAGGAGAAACCACUUGCUCCUGACCUCUUCCAGGUUCUUUUAACUUUUCCUCACCUGCUCUCCCAGUGUAAAGCACUGUGUCGAUCGCUGUGCUGGCCCAAAGGAGCCUCGCAUGGACCACGGCUAUCCCGGCAGCUCACUGAUACCUUCCAUCUUGCUUGUUAAAAGCACAGGAUAUUUCGGAGAAUUGGAAUUCAUUAGUCUUCCUAACAGAGGGAGCCUACUUAGACCUAAAUUGGUGGUUAGCAAAUGUACAGAUAAUUCCCACACAUUCUUAUUUAUCUUCCCCAGUUCGGCAGAGUAUAGAAACAGAUGCCUCAGCGUCUGUCUGGGAGGCUCUAGUCAAUGGAGUGGAAUACAAAGGUAUCUGGGAUUCAGAAUUGGCGAAACUCAAUAUAAGCAAAUUGGAACUCUUCUCUGUUGACUAGAUUACCUCCCUAAUCAGAUUUCCCCAAGGUCCUCGCAAUAACUUGAUAUUCUCAGACAAGACUAGUCUUUUAUGUACACGAAACAGGAGGCAAAAGAUCACAAUAGAAGUCAGAGGCAGUGAUGAAGACGGGCCGAGAGCUCUUCACGCGAAACAAUGGUUGCUAAAUGCUCGUCUAUUAGCGCCCGCACCUGCUGACAGCUCUGCUGCAUCUAGGCUUUUAAAGCCUCUGGAUGCUUGAUGACAUUGGCUCUGGAGCCAAAUCUCUGCUUAGAUGUACCGGUAGUGCCAGUAUAGAUCUUCUGAAUGUGCAUUCUUUACAGCCAAAGAUGUAGAGAAGACCCUAAAUUGGGAGGGGAAAGAAAUUUCCUCAUCCCUAUUCUGGCUUAGGGUGGCUAUUUUACCGGAUCCCACUAGCUUACAGCUAAUGAUGUGGAGAUGGUGAAUUCAAGCCUGCAGCUCUGCUCAUGUACAUAGCCCAUCUCUUUCAGCUUGGUGUUUACGAGGGACUUGCUACAGCUAAAGCAAGCAAUAUCCUUUCUGAAACUCUUCCAUUUUUGUAACAAAAUGGCAUUUUCCAAAUCUGCUCUUUGCUCUCCCCACAAUGCUGAUGGACGGCCAGCAGCAGAAGGAAACUGAUUCUGGUCUGCUAGACACCUGUGGGAAACGCUCACUUGAUCUACACCCAAACUUUGCAUCUUCAGAUGCCCUGAAAUGCAAUUUCAGUUCCCCAGCAAG
rnacentral:lncRNA from 1 species